rnacentral:lncRNA from 1 species
GCUUCUUCUUCCUCAGCAUCUGGGUUGUCCAUUAGCAAACUAAUGGUUUGUUCUUCAACGGGAGAUUUGGCUUCUAUUGUUGGCCUAGGGAAUUGGUUUGCCAAUGAUUGAACUGCAUUGUUGUUGGAGGAUGUGAUAGUGAUUUCCACCAAAGCUUCCUCACAUUGAAUAAUGGCAUUUGGGAUUUCUGGUUGUGAGUCGAUAGCUUCGACAAUUAUGUCUUUAGGAAGAGUUUCUUCUUCCAUUUUCCAUUGGAUCUUGACAUCAACCAAAUCAUCAGAAACAUUCUCGAGGAACUCCUCCGUGGACUUAUUGAUAAUUGUAUCAUCUUCUUCAGCUUGAACGGAACUUUUCUCCAUUUUUGUUUCCUUCUUGUCUCCUUCAAUGUCAGCAUCUGAUGCUACAUUUCCGGUUGUGGGAUCUGAUCAUUUUCAUCUUGAUCGUCUUUCACUUCCAAAGAUUCUUCAUCACUGCUCAAGGCAUCAUCUCCAUCAACUUCAGUUUCUUCUUCCACAUUUUCG